UCGGCCACAUGAUUAGGAUUGAUGAUCUAUGCAACAUACGCGAUCAGAUGUAUUUGCGUAAGCGCAGGUGCUACCCUGAGCCCUGCGAAGAGCACCUAGCCUCACUUUUGGAGGCUGACUCGCGCUGCAAAGAAAACAGUUGCCAGCACCCGCAGGUUCCUGUCUAAAAGUUUCGGAGUGAUGGACCCAGCUGUGGGUGGCUAAGGCGCGCCUGUGUCGCUCUUGACGUUCAUUCCUCAGGGUCACCAGAAGCAACAGGUGGAGGAAAUGCAGGUGGAGUGCCCUGAUCUGGCAGCCUGGGUAAUGGAGCACUGCAAAGAGCCCCACAGAUCAGGCAGUACAUAAGCAAGCAGCACAACCACUUACAGGAGCUGCGUGAGGUACGUCGUCAAGGAGACGCCUGCCUUGACCAGGCAGAGCAGAUGAAGCUGCAGCUACGGAGUGCACUACAGCUCACGCAGCAACAGGUUAACUGCUGCGGUCCUCUACACACAUGCAGUCACUGGCCGUCAGAGUGGCAGGUGGACAUGCGGUGAAGCCCACACGUCGGGUCAUGCCACAUGAUGGACACAAACAGCAGGAGAGAGAAAUCAAGGCAAAUGUGACAUAACAAGCAGUUCCAAGGUGUGUUUUAUAAGUGCAGUUCAAGGACCACAAUGGUGAGAUGUUCCAAACAGCAGUGAGAGGAGCUGCAGCAGAGCAGCACGUGGGCUCAGGGCUGCCAGCUCCAACACGCAGCAGCUGCAGGCCUGAAUGCAGACCGUGGAGGAAGGCGCAUUAACGUCCAUCCUGUUUUUGGCCAGAUGUAAUAUAGAGGGAAGUCUUUUGUAAGUUUUUUCUUUCUGAUGUGUAUAACAUUUGGUAUUACUAUUAAACAUUUAAAGGGGGAAAAGGCCUGUUUGCUUACAGGCUGUUUGGAAUAUACUAACGUCCCCCAGCAUUGCUCACACCAUUUGAUGGCUGUGCAAUUUGUUGUGUGUAUCAGGAUUCAUUAAUUUCAGUUAGCCAGUGCAGUUGUUUUUGUAUGAGUUGUCCUGGGGUUAAGAAAAAAAGAAAAAGAAUAGAAAAGGAAGAAGGAACGCUAUGAAUAAUGAAUGAAACAGCACUGAUGUCACUUUGGGUUUGCAUCUUUUUGAAGAUAUUUACCAUGUCUGGCAACAAAUGAAUCAUUUUUUUUUAUUGCAGAGAAAUUUAAUUUGUACAAACCUAACUGCUGCCUACAAGGACAGACUGGCGGAAUGUAAUUUUAAUCAAAUCAAAUUUUAUUUGUGUGUUAUAAAAGAGUUACCGAUUUGAAGUAUGACAGUGUUUUAUUAUUAUUACGCUGGGUAAUGAGUUUGAUUCUCUUGCUGCUGGUGGGGGAUGUGGAUCAGAGGGACUCCCAGGCUGCACGCUUCCCAGCCCGGACACCUCCCGGCCUGCGUUCAUCCCGGUCCAGAUGCCUCCCAGCCUGGAUGCUGUGUGCUACACCCUUCACAUCUUCACUUGAGUGUUUAGUGCUACCAGUACUAAUAACCCAAUGCCCUUCACAUCACCUUCACCCUUCUGGCUUUUUAUUAGGCUCACAUCAUAAUUGUAAGAGUGCGUGUGUAUGUGUGUGUGUGUGUGUGUGUGUGUGUGUGUGUGUGUGUGUGUGUGUGUGUGUAAAUGUUCAAAUACAAUUGUUUAGUGUUGAAGUAACAGCGUGAAGUACUGAAGUACUUAAAUCCGUAUGUCUGUGGUCUCUGUCAGGAGGGCCCUCUGCUCUACCUGUGCUGUUCCUCUCUUGCUGUUCUUGGCUUCUCUGCAGCAGCCCACGUACACCACGGCCCUCCAUGCUGGCUUCACUGUAGCGCUGCUUAAAAGAGCAAAACCCACACAACAGUGGCACGGUCACUUUGUGUGUGUUUCUGCGUGUUUGUAUGUGUUUUCUCUGCAGUUCUUGCAGUCCUAGUUUGUUUUUUAAAGGCAUCGUUUUGGUUGUUCAAGAAGCACCAGAAAACAAGUAUUUUAAGAUAAUGUCUUCAGCAAGCUUGUAUUAGACAAUGUUGCCGUAUUGGAAUUGCAGCGUACACACAGCAGAAUAUCAUGCAACUCCAAUAUAGCGAUAUUAACUACCCAGAGUUUCAGUUAUUGGAAGUUAAUUCACAGGGUUCCGCUGUCUAAUUUGUGAUUUAUUCUGCUGUCUAAUUUAUUGUUUAUUCUGAUGUCUAAUUUAUUAUUCAUUCCUAACAGGAGCUGACAGCUCUCAGGCAGCAAUGUCAUGACGCUGCUGGCAGGCUGAGAGAGGGAGUAGUGGAGCAGCUCCGUCCUGAGGCCCUGGGCCUUGUGGAGGAGCUGCACCAGAGGGCCCAGGAGGCCCAGAGGCUCAAGUGUAUCCACCAGACCCUGAGCCAUGACAUGGUCUCAGCUAAUCAGUAGCACAGAGAGCACCUGAGCUGGCUGGAGCACUAAGCGACAAGUAGAGGAAGAGUUUCUUGCACAGGCCAGGAUGGCUGGCUUACAGUUCUGAAAACAGAAAAGAAAAUAUAUUUCAGGGUUGUAACGACAGUGUGAGGAUGUAUGUCUGAUACAUCUGGCUCCUCCUGUCACGACAAGACCUGGACACCCUGUAAGCCUGAGAAGAAAAAAAGUGGAGUGCGGAAUGUUAAAGCGGUCACAGAGCACAGAGGCGCCCCAAUUCAUAACAUCUGUCGGGAUCAGCGUCUGCUGUUGCUUUUUCCGGGAGAAAGGCAGCCGCUCCUCUCCCUCCGGAUGGUACAAACGUGUCACCGACGCACACACCCUGUUUCAUGUGGUCCUACAGCCACAGUGUCCCUGAUGAGAGCUGAGGA